rfam:Dendroctonus ponderosae Seq01000007, whole genome shotgun sequence.
GCCCGGGUGGUGGAAUCGGUAGACACAAGGGAUUUAAAAUCCCUCGGCGUUCGCGCUGUACGAGUUCAAGUCUCGUCCCGGGUA